UACGAAGGGGGCUAGCGUUGCUCGGAAUCACUGGGCGUAAAGGGUGCGUAGGCGGGUCUUUAAGUCAGGGGUGAAAUCCUGGAGCUCAACUCCAGAACUGCCUUUGAUACUGAGGAUCUUGAGUUCGGGAGAGGUGAGUGGAACUGCGAGUGUAGAGGUGAAAAUUCGUAGAUAUUCGCAAGAACACCAGUGGCGGAACGGCGGAGGC
rnacentral:rRNA from 1 species